GUGGAGAAGAAAAUGAGCCUAUGUAUC
rnacentral:sRNA from 1 species